UCCCUGGGGGUCUUGUGGUUAAGACUCUGCGCUUCCAGUGCAGGGGGUGCAGGUUUGAUCCCUGGUUGGGGAA
rnacentral:tRNA from 1 species